UGGAGAGUUUGAUCCUGGCUCAGAGUGAACGCUGGCGGCGUGCCUAAUACAUGCAAGUCGAACGGACAAGUAAGAGCUUGCUCUUAUGAGUUAGUGGCGCACGGGUGAGUAAUGUAUAGCUAAUCUGCCCUACACUAGAGGACAACAGUUGGAAACGGCUGCUAAUACUCUAUACUCCUGUCUUACAUAAGUUAGAUAGGGAAAGUUUUUCGGUGUAGGAUGAGGCUAUAUUGUAUCAGCUAGUUGGUGAGGUAAUGGCUCACCAAGGCUAUGACGCAUAACUGGUCUGAGAGGAUGAUCAGUCACACUGGAACUGAGACACGGUCCAGACUCCUACGGGAGGCAGCAGUAGGGAAUAUUGCUCAAUGGGGGAAACCCUGAAGCAGCAACGCCGCGUGGAGGAUGACACUUUUCGGAGCGUAAACUCCUUUUGUUAGGGAAGAAUAAUGACGGUACCUAACGAAUAAGCACCGGCUAACUCCGUGCCAGCAGCCGCGGUA
rnacentral:rRNA from 1 species